GACAGAGGGUGCAAACGUUGCUCGGAAUCACUGGGCGUAAAGGGCGUGUAGGCGGGAAGGUAAGUCGGGCGUGAAAUCCCUGGGCUCAACCCAGGAACUGCACUCGAAACUACUUUUUCUUGAGUGCCGGAGAGGAAAGCGGAAUUCCUGGUGUAGAGGUGAAAAUUCGUAGAUAUCAGGAGGAACACCAGUGGCGAAGGCGGCUUUCUGGACGGGUAAACUGACGCUG
rnacentral:rRNA from 1 species